rnacentral:rRNA from 1 species
CUAGCAUAUCAAUAAGCGGAGGAAAAGAAAGCAACAGCGAUAGCCUCAGUAACGGCGAGUGAAGCGGCUACAGCUCAAAUUUGAAAUCUGGCCUCCUUUGGGGGUCCGAGUUGUAAUUUGCAGAGGAUGCUUUGGCAUUGGCGGCGGUCUAAGUUCCUUGGAACAGGACAUCGCAGAGGGUGAGAAUCCCGUACGUGGGCGCCUGCCUUUGCCGUGUAAAGCUCCUUCGACGAGUCGAGUUGUUUGGGAAUGCAGCUCUAAAUGGGAGGUAAAUUUCUCCUAAAGCUAAAUACCGGCCAGAGACCGAUAGCGCACAAGUAGAGUGAUCGAAAGAUGAAAAGUACUUUGGAAAGAGAGUCAAAUAGCACGUGAAAUUGUUGAAAGGGAAGCGCUUGCAGCCAGACUUGCCCGCAGUUGCUCACCUAGGCUUUCGCCUGGGGCACUCUUCUGCGGGCAGGCCAGCAUCAGUUUGGGCGGUCGGAUAAAGGCCUCUGUCAUGUACCACCCUUCGGGGUGGCCUUAUAGGGGAGGCGUAAUGCGACCAGCCCGGACUGAGGUCCGCGCAUCUGCUAGGAUGCUGGCGUAAUGGCUGUAAGCGGCCCGUCUUGAAACACGGACCAAGGAGUCUAACAUCUAUGCGAGUGUUUGGGUGUCAAGCCCGGGCGCGCAAUGAAAGUGAACGGAGGUGGGAACCUUUCGGGGUGCACCAUCGACCGAUCCUGAAGUCUUCGGAUGGAUUUGAGUAAGAGCAUAGCUGUUGGGACCCGAAAGAUGGUGAACUAUGCUUGAAUAGGGUGAAGCCAGAGGAAACUCUGGUGGAGGCUCGCAGCGGUUCUGACGUGCAAAUCGAUCGUCAAAUUUGGGCAUAGGGGCGAAAGACUAAUCGAAUCAUCUAGUAGCUGGGUUCUGCGAGUCCUUCUCUUCAAGAACU